AUGAAACAGAACAGGACCCGUGUCUGCACAGGGGUAAUGUAAAGACGUCAAUGAUGACACAGGGAACAAACUGAGGAGCAGCCAGAUAUAGAGGGAGUAAUCAGCAAAGUAAUGGAAUCCAGAGCUACCCGGUGGUGAUGUCCACCUACAUGGGCAUCAUGGGAAGAGUCCUGCUGCAGACCGCUAGUUUCUUCUCCUCCCUCCUGACACAGAUGGCCAGACAGUACAACCAGCAGAUGGGCCAGUUGUUGGGUGGUGUGAUAGAGAUGUGGGUGUACCACAUGGACAGCAUCACACAGCCAGAGAGGAGGAAACUGUAUUCUCUGGCUCUGCUGGGGACUACAAAGGGAAGCAGAGCCGUGAGCUGCCCAGUGACACAAGCCUACCAGACGAGCUAAAUUACUUCUAUGCUCGCUUCGAGGCACGUAACACUAUGGCAUGCAUGAGAGCAUCAACUGUUCCAAACGACUGUGUGAUCACGCUCUCUGUAGCCGAUGUGAGUAAGACCUUUAAACAGGUCAACAUUUAUAAGGCCGCAGGGCCAGACGGAUUACCAGGAUGUGUACUCUGAGCAUGCGCUGACCAACUGGCAUGUGUUAUCACUAAAAUGUUCAACCUCUCCCUGUCUGAGCCUGUAAUACCACCAUGUUUCAAGCAGACCACCAUAGUCCCUGUGCCCAAGAACACUAAGGUGUCAUGAUGUGCCGUUGUUGGGUAUAGAUUGUGGCUUCCCCCUCUCUCUCUUUCUCUCCUACACCCAGGUUCUGUUAUCUCAUGUCGUAAAUUCCUGGCGGAGACUCUCUCCCCCUGGCCAUGCAGAAAGAGAGACACGGAGAUAACAAAGGAUUUCACAUGGCGAAAUCCCCAAAAUGUGAAUUUGAAACAAAAUGUCCACUUGUGAGGAGUUGGGAAUGGUCCUUGGACACUUAAGGGACGGGUAUGACCAGUGUGUUUCAUUCGGUGACCUCAGAGAGAGCAGGAAACACACAUAACUAUAUCUCUGAAUGUGUACAUUUAUCAAUUAAGAAGUUUGCAUCUCAUUCAUGUAUAAAAUAUGAAACUAUUUGUGAAAUGAUGUAAUGUGAUGUUAAACCUUUAUUUUGAGAAAAUUGUAUUAAUUUAAAGUUUAACUAAGUCAUUGGCCCACCCCUGUGAGCACAGACACCAUCAGGCGUCAUAGAACCACCUUUUCUAUCGUUAUGAAUAAAAACCCAUUCUGAGGAAAUCCUCAUUAGACAGCGCGUACCUCAGUGUUAGCUGAGGUGGCAUAGGUUUGAGUUCCAAGUCUGAGCAAACCCACAGCGUGAGCUCUGAUUGCAAAUAGUUAUUGAAUUCCUAACCAUACCAAGUGGAGCAUUGGCUACACAGCUGGAAAUGGUUCAACUCUGAGACUAUCAAUUUUAUUUAACCAUUAUUUAACUAGGUCAAGUCAGUUAAGAACAAAUUUUUAUUUUCAAUGGUGGCCUUGUGGGUUAACUGCCUAUUCAGGGGCAGAAUGACAGAUUUGUACCUUGUCAGCUUGGGGGUUUGAGCUUGCUAUGUUCUGGUUGCUAGUCCAACGCUCUAACCACUAGGCUACCUUCCGCCCCAAUCCCUACAGGACAAGGGCAAAUCUUAGAUACUAAUUACUAGUCUGCAGCUAGAAAUUAUGUAAACCUGGAAUGCGAAGUCCGACAACCGCCGAAACAUCUAUUCCAUGAGAACAUUUCUGAAUGGUACUCUGAAGUAUCCAUUCUAACGAAAGACUUUGGUCUUCAGAGAGAGAGAUAGAAAGAGAUGCGGAUGAACUGACUCCCCAGCAGUCGGACUGACAAUGCCAACAGAGAUCAAGACGACACCUGGGAGGAAAUAUAUAGUGAUUGCAAUUAUUCCCGAAUGAGUGAGCGUUCAUGUGAAAAGGAUUAGCAUUUCCAUUAAUAUAAUUACCAACUGUGUGUAGUGAUCCCUUUUGUCUUUUCCACUUCUUUCUCAGUCCACACCCACUUCCCUUUGUCCACCAAGCCGUCAUAUCCGCUUAGCCCACUAGGGAAUCUUCCCUGUCCCGUGUUAGUAACCAAUAUCUACUGUGUUGUUUGUUUAUGCAUUUCUGGGAUUAUUUAGUUAGUUAGUAAAUCACUGAUUUAGCCAAUUGGUGUAUGGAUGAUUCAUAGUAAAGGCUGGUUUGUGCAGCAAUUCAAAACCAACAAUUCACAAUGUUUGGAAUGAGACUGAAGUGAGGUAAAUAAUAGUUCAUUAAUAAGAAGACUAAUUGAUCAGAUAUUAAAAUAUCUGAAGAGUUAUAUUAGGAAAAUUAUAACUUUGUAAUCUGUAGUUUUUCCUUGGUGCCCCAGCUUCCUAGUUAAUUACAUUUCCAUGAUUAGUUUAAUCACGUAAUAAUAAUUGCAGAGAAUUGAUUUGAUAAACUAACAGUCUUCACUUUUAAUGAUGCCAAAGACACGACAAAGGUAACUUGCCUAAAUGAAUACCAAACCGUAGCACUCACUUCAGUAGCCAUGAAGUGCUUUGAAAGGCUGGUCAUGGUUCACAUCAACAUUCAGAAACCCUAGACCCAAUUAAAUUUGCAUACCGCCCCAACAGAUCCCCAGAUGAUGCAAUCUCAAUUGCACUCUACACUGCCCUUCCACACCUGGACAAAAGGAACACAUAUGUGAGAAUGCUAUUAAUUGACUACAGCUCAGCAUUCAACACCAUUGUGCACUCAAAGCUCAUCACUAAGCUGAGGAUCCUGGGACUAAACACCUCCCUCUGUAACUGGAUAUUGGACUUUCUGACUGACGGGCCGCCCCCAGGUGGUAAGGGUAGGUAACAACACAUCAGCCACACUGAUCCUCAACACGGGGGCCCUUCAGGGGUGCGUGCUCAGUCCCCUCCUGUACUCCCUGUUCACUCAUGAUUACAUGGCCAGGCAUGACUCCAACAAUAUCAUUACAUUUGCCAACGACAUCAACGGGGCUGUAGUACCCACAUCACCAACGAUGGUCCAACCUGGUCCAAGCACACCAAGACUGUCGUGAAGAGGGCACGACAAAACCUAUUCCCCCUCAUGAGACUGAAAAGAUUUGGCAUGGGUCCUCAGAUCUUCAAAAGGUUCUACAGCUGCACCAUCGAGAGCAUCCCAACUGGUUGCAUCACUGCCUGGUAUGGCAACUGCUUGGCCUCCGAUUGCAAGGUACUACAGAUGGUAGUGCGUACAGCCCAGUACAUCACUGGGGCCAAGCUUCCUGCCAUCCAGGACCACUAUACCAGGUGGUGUCAGAGGAAGGCCCUAAGAAUUGUCAAAGACUCCAGCCACCCUAGUCAUAGACUGUUCUCUCUGCUACUACAUAGUAAGCAGUACCGGAGCGCCAGGUCUAGUUCCAAGAGGCUUCUAAACAGCUUCUACUCCCAAGCCAUAAGACUCAUGAACAUCUAAUCAAAUGGCUACCCAGACUAUUUGCAUUACCCCCACCCCCCUCUUUACGCUGCUGCUACUCUCUGUUUAUUAUCUAUGCAUAGUCACUUUAAUAACUCUACCUACAUGUAGAUAUUACCUCGACUAACCGGUGCUCCCCGCACAUUGAUUCUGUGGCGGUACCCCCUGUAUAUAUGGUAGCCUCGCCAUUGUUAUUUUACUGCUACUCUUUAAUUAUUUGUUGCUUUUAUUUUUAGUAGUAUAUUUUGGGGGUAUUUUUUCUUAAAAUUGUGUUGUUGGUUAAGGGCUUGUAAGUAGGCAUUUUACUGUGAGGUCAACGCUUGUUGUAUUCAGCACAUUUGACCAAUACAAUUGGAUUUGAUUUUUCUCUCCUUCUUACCAUCAGACAACAGGUGAGGAGGACGCACACCACAAAUAUACUACACACACACAGAGAUACCAUAUACACACAGGCACACACACUUUUUACAAUCCUGUUGGGGAUUUUAGGUCCCCACAAGGAUAGAAGAACAAGACACACACCUCUCUCUCUGCCCCUGGGGUAGUCUGGCCUGUUGGUGAUCAUG